UGUUUACUGGGCAUACACCUGUUUCUGUAUCUUUAUGAAUUGUUAGUGGAUAGCGGAAGUGCAUAACAGUUUUCCUGUCCAGGAAAACCUCUUAAAGGUUUCAAAAUUAUUUGCUUUGAAAUGAAAAUGAGAUUUUCUGAAGUUUUGUCCCAGGUAAGAGUUACAGACUCAACCUGCAUACCUCUGCAGAGAUCUCCAGUUAAGCACUGUUUCAAAUGCUGGUUUAGUGGCUUGGUUGGUUUGUUUUUGAAAACAGAACCACGCAAGACUGAGCCAAAUGAGGCAUAGACACUCGGUAGCUAGUGGUUGUUCACGGUUAACCCAUGUUUGUUUUGAUCAGUGUUACCCUGCCUCAUAAGGCUCUUCUGUGAACUCUUUGUCAAAACUAAAGUUUUAGUGCUAUUUGGAUUUCAGCAAUUUGGUGUUUCUGAAAGAACAGUUUUGUCCUCUGUAGCUAAAAUGGUUUUUUGUUUGUUUUUAAGGUUGUGUUUUCAUUAGAAGUGGCAGUGGUUAGUAACCUUCCAAAACGUCCUCUCCCUUCAACCUCAAGCUAAAGAAACUUGAAUGUUUUAGGGGAGGCAAAAAUAAGGUUAACUAUUAAACGACAGAGGGAAAAGUUCAUGCUGUUUAUAUAUAAGGUUAGCUGGAGCUUGUUUGAACAGCUCUAGCAGCAAAACAGGUGUAUAGGCAAAAGAAAACAGCCCUUAAUGGAGAAACUUCUAGGCAUAUUGGUGAAAUUCAGCGUACCGCUGUGGGCUGGGGAGGCGAAGCACACUUUCUGGCUGCCACCUGGGAGCCUAGGUGGGGUGAUCCGUAACCAUGUGUGAGCGGGGACAUCUGUGUCAGCUCGCAGCAAGGCCAGGAGCACGGUCCCCUCCCCAGAGAGCAGCAUCGGAGGCUGCUCUCCCCACAGGGUCCUGGAGAAGAGCCCUGCCAACACAGUGAGGACUAAGCGGAGGGAGAGCGCCCGGAGGGAACGAGAGCCAGGUAAAAAGUGGGAGUGUUUCUGGAGCCAUGUGAGAGGAGGAGGGGUGUGCAGAGCUGGGUUGCUAAAUACUGUCGUCCCAUUUCAUAAUUGCAUAAUUUGAUUUCUUCUCAUUCAGUAUUCGUUGCAGAUUCAAACAGGAAUUAACAAUCCUGUCUGGUUACAAACUUAGUGUCAAAUCACGAUUGCGUGUGAAGGUAUAAUCACUCAGUUGAGUACAGAGCAUCGAGACCUGUUGAGGCAACAGAUGUUGUGGGAUGACCUGUAUUUUUUAACUCCUGGUUAACCCUUGAGCUCGGUUUCUCAUUGCUCACUUCUAGAUCAAGUUUUGUUCAGCUGGCUUUGGGUAUAAUGUGUUGUGUGAGUUUGUCCUCAAUCAGCUUUGGUAAUCUAAAGGGUUCACCUUCUACAUCCACAGCUCCCAAAAGCUAUUUAGGAGUGAAACUUGCUCAGAGUGGAGUGUCUUAAUUUUUGUAGUCCUGGUCUCAAGCUUGUACAGUCAGUUAAAGAAGAGUUGGGAAAAAAAAUUCCGUUCUUAAAAUACAAGUUGAAAACUGAAAUGCCAAGCUGACAGUGGAACAUGAAAGCUUGGGGAAAAAACCCAAAAGCUUACUCACACUUUUGCAUUCCUAACUUGUUUAACAUCGGUGUGUAUGCAUUAUGAAAGGUUUUCUGUUAUAUGGUGAUAGGUUGCUUUUCGAUAUCAAAUCCCCAAGGUGAUUUGAGCUGGCCAUCCUUUUAAGGUGCUGUUCUCAGGCAUGGUACCUUCAGUCCUAUUUUGUUACUAGAUGCAUUAACAGAAAUGCUAACAGCUGACAUCUGGCAAACAAAACUGCUGACAACCUGUUACCUUGUGUUUCUCUGGGCUGGUGAGUGUUACUAACAGAGUAUGUAAGUGUAUGUUCAAGCAGCAAGCUGUGUUGCUUUUGGAGCAUGUACUGAUAAACAAAAGCCAGUGUUGACUGAACAACUGAUUGAUGAUGGGCAAUGCAGAGCAGGGACCAUCUUUAUUUUGUCCUCUACAUGCAGUGAAAAAGAGGAAUGAGGGAUAAAGGAAGAAUGCAAGCAUUUCUCAUCUGCUCUCUUUCGCAUGCCUUUUCCUGUGGCAGCUUUAUUCCCAUUUCCCCGCAUGCUAAACCCAUUCUAAUUGUCAUUCCUCCCAGUCAGACCCUUUGCCAUGUUGUUGUCUCUUGCAGAUAAAAAAAAAAAAGGUCAUGAUGGAUGGUGUCUCCACACACUUACUCCUGAUGGUUUUGGCUGGGUUUCUGUUUCUUCCCCUGCCGCUGCUGUUAGUGUGUCAGCAUGCUUUAUUCUGCUUUAUUAACAGGUAUUUAUGAAGGUUGCAUAGCUUCGACGAGUGCCUUUUUGCAGGGGCUGAGUGUGCUGCUCUGUAGCAUUGCUCAGUCCCUCACAGGCAUCUGCUUGGCAGAUGUGUGCAGCUGCAAGAGGACGUGUCAUUUUAAACCAUCUCACAAAGUUUUGUCUUUCCUGCCCUGGCAAGCUUUCUGCCCAGUCUGGCUUUUACACUUACCCAAAGGUCUUUCCAGUCGGAUCCUACUGGUGUCACAGCUCCAGGCUCUGCUUGCUCCAGUGUCAAAAGCAGAGACUGGGAACUCGCCCAGAGUCUCUAAGAUGGAUUUGAGCUACAUAACUCACCCCCAGGUCCUCAGUAACCAACACGCACCAGGGCUAACAAGAGUGGUGCUGACGAAGAAAGGUGUUUCACGCCACUUAAUCCAGUGUAUGUGUGAAGUUAAGGCACAGAUGGUUGCUUUGAGGACUCCUGACUUUCUGCAGCUACUGUGUUAUUCUUGACUGUGGUAACAAAGCAGGUAUCCACAGUUAGAGUCAGGCGUGCAUUCUGCAUGACUGCUUCAUCUACAUUAUGACAUUAUGUUUUUUAAUAAUAAUUUGGAAUAAUAAAUUGGGUACUGGUGCUGAAUUUGUUGGCAAUGUUUUAAGAAUUUAUUUAGAAACUGUAAAACAGCAUAAACUUAUACAUCAGGUUUUCCAAAAGGGUGGUAUUAAUAAUACUACACAAAGUUUUAGUCGGACCAAAAGACAAAAAGCAGUUUGUUUCCAAUUCAAAAAAUACAAACGUUUGCUACAGGUACAAAAUUAUAAAAAGUUUGUAUUUUCCUCUUGAUCUGGUGACAGACACAUACAGCAGAGAUGUAUAUUUCACCAGCUCCAAAUCUGUAUAAGCUAUGGGAAAUGACGAUAAAAUAAAAAUGUCAUGGUUAAGAAGAAAACGCAAAACAACUUCUCGUCUUUCAUUUAACCAGAUGUGAACACUUAUUCCUUUGCACUUUUUUGGUUGCCAACAUUUAAAUUAGUCUUAGUCAUGCUUCAUGUAACAAUCAGAAAUAACAGCAGAUUUACCUCAUGCAUUUAUUUUUAAUAUUCAUCACAUAAUGUCUUCUCACCAUGCUACCUAGAAAGGUUAGUGUUUUUAUUGACAACAUUUAAGGGAAGUGGGGGAUGAAGGAAUGCAAUCGGAACUCAGGAAUAUUUCUAUCUACUGCUUCACAAGGAAACGUGAGAAAUCCUCCAAUUAGCAUAAAACUUAAUUUUGUAAUUAAUUCUGCUUGGAUCUGUUUGCAAUAACAAAUGUAACAAAAAGGUCACUUAACAGAAGGGGAAGAUGCUGCUGAGUGUCUCUGUCAGUAAAACACGCGUCUGCCUUCUGUAUUGUGCAAAGGUGCAGAGCCCUGCACAUCUAGUCUCUGUGGCUUGCAUAUGGGCUUCUGCACCUAAGAAGACCAAGUGCGUCUUAUUUAUGAUGGAUUUGUGCUUCAGGCUGCUGCUCCAGCCAGUUGUGUGUGUGCAGCAUUCAGUAGUGCUGGGCAGAGGAAUUGCCAGAAAUGUUGUCAGUAAAAACUAGAAGCAGCUUACUUUUAAUUAAAAAAAAAAAAAAAAAAAAAGACUCUCCAAUUUAGUUUAGUAAUUUUCAGUGACAAGUGCCCUUUACAUUUGCAAUGUGGUUGAUUUGUUACCAUAACCUGUUGAAGGACUUGAAACUGUAGUCUUUCUUCCAAAGUUGAUCUAGCCAAGAUGCUUGGGGUUUUCAUAUUACCUGGCUUGGUUCAAAGUUGAAUUCUUGACUUUGUUAUUGAAACAGAACGCUGCAAAGCUGGUAAGGCCUGAGAUAAGGUCUAAUAGCUCUUUCCUCAUCUUUCUGUGAGCAAAGGAUGUGCUAGAUGGCACCAGAAAGCUGCUGUUGCCAGACUGUUGGUACUUGGCAUCCCUUCUCGCAAAAACAGGUAAUCUGAAUUGUGGUCCAGAAAUGCACCACCUCUUGUUGGCAGUUGCAAACACGGUGUUUUUCAUACAGUGGUAACGGCAGCUUAGCUUUGAUCUCAUCUCUCUUACCUUGUUUAGGAGAUAUUAUGUGAGAAAGAAAAAAAAGCUGCAUCUCACAUUCUUUCUUGCUCUAGAACAACUUGGAAACCAGAAUAUUGGAUGCUCUCUGCCAUCUUUACUAACUACACUUUGGGGAAAAAAAAUACAACCACAAAAUAAAAAUAAAAGCUUACAUAGCACUACGACAGAACUCUAUCACCAGCCAAGAACAAACUACGGCAAUACACUUAUCAUGGCAUUAUUUACAAGACAAUGGAACAUUAUGCAUAUAAUAAAUUACAUUUAAUACUUUUCCUCUUAACUCUGCUAGAUGUAAGCUUAUGCUUUUUUUUUAAAAAAAAAAUAUUUUCUUCAGUCCAAUAUAUUUUCUUCUAUGUAUCUUAACUGACUAGGCAAGUACAGGAGGUGACAAUGCUAUUUGCCUAUCUUUUCUGUUUUUAAAAGCCAAAUUGCUUUCCGAAUUCAUGAUACAUCAUAGUAUGCUACUGUCCUCACUGACAUUUAUGUUAUAGCACAUACCUUUCCGCAGCAGAAGCAGUAAGGGAUUGUCAGCAUGGCCUGUGCUCAUAUUGACAUUAAGUCUUGGAAAGGAACUUCUUGUGAGCUCUCUUUGAGUUGAUGAGAGAAAAUAAGGGAGUGGAAGUUGCAUAGCAUUGCACGCCUUGGGACGUUUGACAAUGCUCCUGAUGGCACGUUUCUUCUGUUUGUUCCCACCAAAAUUAGCAGGGAAAUUUGUGAGGAGAAAGCCAGGAGGAAGGUUCACAAAGGCUAAGGUUGGGAUUCACAGGGGUAGAUGAAAACUAGGAGUCCCUUGUUGCUCUGCAGGACAGAAAGGUUGCCUGCUGUGUUUAUUUAGCAGCUGUGCAGAGGUUCCAAAUUGGUGUAUGCAGAGGUCAGGCUUUGUGAAGUUUAUUAGAGGAGGGGAGGGUUGGUUGGUUUGUGAUUUUGCGUUGGGUUGUGGGUUUUUUUUAAACAUUAAGUCAAUUUACAACUACCAUGAGCGGGUUCUGUACUACAGUGGAUGGGGUUCAUCCAGAGCAAAAGGCUCUGCUCUCCUGCUUAUAAGGAGCAGCCUGGCAUCUAGGAGCCGAGGAGUCCCACGAAAGACAGGUCUGUGUGGGUCCAGGUGCUGGAGGAGCGUGGAGACCCUCUCUGCACAAAUACCCCGAGGAAUCACAAGGAAGCAAGAGCAUCCAGAGUGGUCCCCUUGAGUAUCUAUGCUACUCUUCAGUCCUCUGGGCUCCCCCCGGACAGUCGGCAACAUGAUUUUUGCAAGGACCAUAGUGUUAAAGGCUGACUCCCUCCUAAAAAAGGGAUUUGGAGGAAACAAAACUGAUACAAGAGAUGCUGUAGAUGAAGAUCAUGCAAACUGCUGGAUUUAUAAUGAGACAGACCUCAGAGGAGUCACCUGCAGAGAAGCAAACUACCUCCAGCCUGAUCAGGGAGAUGGAAGUGCCCCACUUCUCCCCACCUGAUGCUGUUCUGCAAAGGGAAAAUUCUGUUCUCCCUAUUUCAGAUGACCACUGCCAUCUGGAUGCUCUGCAUAAAUAUUCACAUAUGGAGUAGUUUCCUAGCGUAAUUCUAACUAGUUAAGCAUUAUUUCUGUUAAUUAAACUACCGAAAUGUAUCCAGCUGAAGUCAUAAGACUACGUUCUAUUGGGGUAACUGGUUUAUUGCUAUGGGUCAUGCUAUAAGUCCUUGAAUGUGUGUACAACCACUUUGUUUAUUUUUGACCUAGGCUAAAUUAGUCUUACUAAUGCAGGUUAACUACUUCUAGCUGUAUUCCUUUUAUUUUACUUGCAUUUCCACUAAGGUAAAAGGAGACUGUAAUGGUGUAGCCAGUCUGUACCCUACUUCUAUGAAUGUUAGAAUGUGUAGAGGAAAACAAACAAGCUUCUUUACAGCUCUGAAUGAUGUCCCUACCUGUUGUCCAUAUUUCCAUUAGAAAUUAGUAACCUGUAUCACUCCCUGUGUUCUCCCCAAAGUAUAACACACCAGGAACCAAUACCAAAGCAACUAUGAAAACCGAAACAGUACUGCAAACACUUCUAAAACCCAUUCAGAAUUAAUUUGAAACAUCUGGCAAUGGUUGAAGAUUGGAAAGAUGUAAAUCCCUUUGAGUUUCCUUCACAGAAGUUGGGAGUAAAGACAAAGGUUCAGUCCCAAAACAAACAAUGCCCUUUUGUUUUUAAUACAAGUGAAAGUGGAGUGCCUUCUGUAUUAAAAUUAUCACGGGAUGUUUCCCAAUAUAAAAAACUAUGUGCAACUUAUGUACAGUAUUCCCAUACACUGCUCUGACUGGCAAUACCCAAAGCCAAUGCUGUGAUUACAACUGUUAGGUUCGUGGAAGAGCACACUCAAGGAAAUUCGGGGUCCAGUAGCGUUCUAGCUGAGGUAGGUUAAAACAGACCCGCUAAUUAGAAAAUCCUGCGUGAGUUCAUAUGGUAUUAAAUAAAACUGAAACUUAUGACACA